CGCGUAGGCGGACCUCCAAGUCAGAUGUGAAAUCUGCCGGCUUAACCGGCAGCCUGCAUUUGAAACUGUGGGUCUUGAGUACAGGAGAGGAAAGCGGAAUUCCAGGUGUAGCGGUGAAAUGCGUAGAUAUCUGGAAGAACACCAGUUGCGAAGGCGGCUUUCUGGACUGAUACUGACGCUAAAGCGCGAAGGCUUGGGUAGCAAACAGGAUUAGAUACCCUGGUAGUCC
rnacentral:rRNA from 1 species